rnacentral:rRNA from 1 species
GACGAACGCUGGCGGCGUGGAUUAGGCAUGCAAGUCGAACGGUAGGAUACCUUCGGGUAUCUGAGAGUGGCGAACGGGUGAGUAACACGUAGGUGAUCUACCCUCAAGAUUGGGACAACCCAGGGAAACUUGGGCUAAUACCGGAUGAAAGCAGCAGUGAUGUUGUUUGAAAGGUGGCGUAAGCUGCCGUUUGGGGAUGAGCCUGCGCUCUAUUAGUUAGUUGGCGGGGUAAAGGCCCACCAAGGCGAUGAUAGAUAGGCGGCCUUAACGGGUGGUCGCCCACACUGGGGAUUGAGAUACGGCCCAGACUCCUACGGGAGGCAGCAGUCGAGAAUAGUCUACAAUGGCCGAAAGGCUGAUAGUGCGACGCCGCGUGAACGAAGAAGCCCUUCGGGGUGUAAAGUUCUUUUAUAUGUGAGCAGUGCUUUCUAUGUGAACAGCAUGGGGAGAGAGAUAUUAGCAUAUGAAUAAGCAACGGCUAACUCCGUGCCAGC